CGGACGAGAAUAAAGAUAGAGUCCCGUUCCACAUGUCAAUACCGACAACAAUGAAAUUUAUAGU
rnacentral:tRNA from 1 species